rnacentral:misc_RNA from 1 species
GCAAACUUGGUCAUUUAGAGGAAGUAAAAGUCGUAACAAGGUUUCCGUAGGUGAACCUGCGGAAGGAUCAUUAACGAAUCUGAAACAAAGCGCACUGCGGGCUGAUGCUGGCUCCUCGGAGCACGUGCACGCCCCUGGGCGCGACUUCAAUUCGCUUACCCUCCCUUGUGCACUCCAUGUAGGUCGUCGACCUCGGCGCCUAUGAUUUUUUCGUACACACCCCGAUCGCAUGUACAUUGUGUAUAACACAAAUACAUAAAAUACAACUUUCAACAACGGAUCUCUUGGCUCUCGCAUCGAUGAAGAACGCAGC